CGGCACAGGUAGCAAUACUGGGUGGCGACCGGCAAACGGGUGCGGAACACGUACGCAACCUUCCCGAAACAGGUGAAUAGCCCUCCGAAAGGAGGAUUAAUACACCGUGAGAUAUUGUUGUGGCAUCACAGUAAUAUUAUAGGUAGCAAUACCGGUUUUGGAUGGGCGUGCGCCUGAUUAGGUAGUUGGCGCGGGUAACGGCCCACCAAGCCUCCGAUCAGUAACUGGUGUGAGAGCACGACCAGUCACACGGGCACUGAGACACGGGCCCGACUCCUACGGGAGGCAGCAGUAAGGAAUAUUGGUCAAUGGACGGAAGUCUGAACCAGCCAUGCCGCGUGAAGGAUGACUGCCCUCUGGGUUGUAAACUUCUUUUAUCUGGGACGAAAAAAGGGCUUUUUAGCUCACUUGACGGUACCAGAGGAAUAAGCACCGGCUAACUCCGUGCCAGCAGCCGCGGUAAUACGGAGGGUGCAAGCGUUAUCCGGAUUUACUGGGUUUAAAGGGUGCGUAGGUGGGCAGGAAAGUCAGUGGUGAAAUCUCCGGGCUUAACCCGGAAACUGCCAUUGACACUAUUUGUCUUGAAUACUUUGGAGGUAAGCGGAAUAUGUCAUGUAGCGGUGAAAUGCUUAGAUAUGACAUAGAACACCAAUUGCGCAGGCAGCUUACUACACAGUAAUUGACACUGAGGCACGAAAGCGUGGGGAUCAAACAGGAUUAGAUACCCUGGUAGUCCACGCCCUAAACGAUGGAUACUCGACAUUAGCGAUAUACAGUUAGUGUCUGAGCGAAAGCA
rnacentral:rRNA from 1 species